rnacentral:rRNA from 1 species
UACGUAGGGUGCGAGCGUUAAUCGGAAUUACUGGGCGUAAAGCGUGCGUAGGUGGUUCGUUAAGUCUGAUGUGAAAGCCCUGGGCUCAACCUGGGAAUGGCAUUGGAUACUGGCGACCUAGAGUGCGGUGGAGGGGUGUGGAAUUCCCGGUGUAGCAGUGAAAUGCGUAGAUAUCGGGAGGAACAUCUGUGGCGAAGGCGACACCCUGGACCAGCACUGACACUGAGGCACGAAAGCGUGGGGAGCAAACAGG